AUACGUAGGUGGCAAGCGUUAUCCGGAUUUACUGGGUGUAAAGGGCGUGUAGGCGGAGAUGCAAGUCAGGAGUGAAAUCUAGGGGCUCAACCCCUAAACUGCUUUUGAAACUGUAUCCCUUGAGUAUCGGAGAGGCAGGCGGAAUUCCUAGUGUAGCGGUGAAAUGCGUAGAUAUUAGGAGGAACACCAGUGGCGAAGGCGGCCUGCUGGACGACAACUGACGCUGAGGCGCGAAAGCGUGGGGAGCAAACAGGAUUAGAUACCCUGGUAGUCCACGCUGUAAACGAUGAAUACUAGGUGUGGGGGGACUGACCCCCUCCGUGCCGCAGUUAACACAAUAAGUAUUCCACCUGGGGAGUACGAUCGCAAGAUUGAAACUCAAAGGAAUUGACGGGG
rnacentral:rRNA from 1 species